CCCGACUGGGUACCUCCAUUGAAGGAUGCUCCUAGCGCUUCCUGAGGGCUCCAAGCACUACAGCAGACACCUCCAGGUCCUGGACGCUACUCACUCCUGGGCACUCUGGAACCGAAUGGGGAAUUAGCUCUAGUCCUUACAAGGACUUUCCCCGUUGAAUCUCCUGCAAGCUGGAGCAGCAGACACAGGAGCAAAUAAUCUUCCCUCCAAUAACAGGACGACACACAGUUUUGGAGUGUAAACAGGAACAGAACUAGC